AACUCUUUCUCUUUCAUAAAAGCUUUCAGUACUUUCCUUCUGCAACUUUUUUUCUCUUUCUCUUUAAGUUUUUCCUCGCUGCUUGAAUUUGUUCAUCUUCUUUUCGUAGCAUCACCUUCGUAUGGGGAAAUCUAAGAAGAAAUUUCCUCGCUGAUUGAAGAAAAUGUAGAAUUUGUUUCGUUUAUCUCCAUCUCAUACUGUUCACUGUGGGUUCUAUCUCUUACCACCGUUCGAUCAUCUCCGUCUCACUGUUGUUCGCUGUUGUUCUUCCUCUCACCAUCGUUCGAGUAGUUGCAUCUAUUGUUUGCUCCUAUAAUCGAGCUCAUGGGGUCGUUCAAUCUAUUCACGGUGUCGGCUGAUGUUCAAGGUUUCAAUCUUCCACUCCAAAUCUGAAUUUGGUUGGGGCCUUUGAUUCAAUUAAUCAAAACAGGACAAUGAGACCUGAUAAAGGAUGGAUGUUGCGAAGAAAAGAUCAAUUUGGUAGUAUAACUGAGGAA